CCUACGGGGCGCAGCAGUGAGGAAUAUUGGUCAAUGGCCGGAAGUCUGAACCAGCCAAGUAGCGUGCAGGAUGACGGCCCUACGGGUUGUAAACCUCUUUUGUCGGGGAGCAAAGAGAGUGACGUGUGACUCAUUGAGAGUACCCGACGAAAAAGCAUCGGCUAAUUCCGUGCCAGCAGCCGCGGUAAUACGGAGGAUGCGAGCGUUAUCCGGAUUUAUUGGGUUUAAAGGGUGCGCAGGCGGAGGUGCAAGUCAGUGGUGAAAUUGCGGUGCUCAACCCC
rnacentral:rRNA from 1 species